CCUCCACCUCCACACCCUCGACAUCCUCCCAAACCCUGGCUCCAUCAAGUAAGGCAGAAGGAGCAUCUUCUGAGGUGGAGACUUUAAUCCGAGACAUAUGGGCAGGGAGGAGGAAGGAGACGCUGUGGGCCAAGUAUGGCCCAUACAAGGUUUACAGCGAGAACCUCAUGGUCUUGGCCCCAGGACAGCAGUUGGAGGGAGAGAUUGUCAAUGCCUAUUUGUCAUGGGUGGGUACAAAAGCUGGGGCUUUGAUUUUGGACUCGUACCUCAUGACUUCCCUCUGGCAGGGAACACAUAAAGGCGGUUUAAGA